CCAAUCGUCUGAUAUCACUAAAAUCUUAACAGAUAUUUUUGUAAGUCAAAACCAAACUACAAACUUGAAAAUUCAUAUCCCACGAUCUAACUAUUCAAAUAAGCUCAAAAUUUGGAAGUACAAAACUUUAACCUUUCAUCAUCAUUACAUAGAUUUUUAGCUACAAAUUUAUUACCAAUCAUAUGAUAUAACCAAAACCGUAGCAAAUACCUUUGAAAGUCAAAAUCCUAGAUAUCUAAGAACAAAUUUCACCAUUUCUUCCAAGUCAAAGUCUCAAUUGAUAUGAGAUUUUAGACAUAGGCUCUUUAUAUCAUAAGUGACAUGUAUACAAAAAAUGAGCUUCAAAUCCAUCUUGAAGCUCAAGUUCUAGCUUAAAAUCAAAACCCUCUAUUUCUUUAAUUUCUUCAAAAUACUAGUUUUAGUUUGCUGGUUUUAACUAGCCAUAUCUCACUUAUUUUAGACUCAAUUCUAUUGAUCUUUGGAUGUAAAAUGUUCAACUUGAAGUUUAGUUUCUAAUCCAAUUUCUUAAUUUCUUGUUAGUAUCU
rnacentral:lncRNA from 1 species